GUGACAUUUGUGUAUGCAUCGCAAUAUAUUAUUUUAUACAGAAGAAAUUUAUCGUUAAAUAUAGAGUCAAAACUCUUUUGCGUCGACUCCAGUAUAGUUUUUUUUCAAGCAAUAAAAAUACAGGCAAAAAUGUCUGAGGGUGAAGCAUCAACAUCAUAUGAGCGUAAAUACGUCAAACCGGUGCCAUCUGUCGAAUCGAUGCGGGAUAUGGCUCUUUGGAAGAAAUCAAACGCUUAUUAUGAUAUCAUUAGUUUCAUCAGCAUGAUAAAUGAGGCAGUUCAAGGAAAGAAAUUGAGCACAAAAUUGAUACCGUCACCAAUUGCAGAUAAUUUACUACAUAUCUUCGAUGCUUUGAAUAAAAUGAUAGAUGAAACACCACAAACACUCGGCAACCAAGCCUAUCGUGAUUGGUUUGAAAAGAUGAGAAGUGACUCAACGGAAUUACUAAAAAAAGAAUUACCAGUGAUACCUCAUCAUGCACUCAUUGAAGUCAGCAAAUAUUUUAUUGAAUCAUUUGGUAAUGCGACACGAAUUGACUAUGGACCCAGUCAUGAAUUGGCAUUCAUCAUGUUUUUGUGUGCACUUUAUAAAAUCCAUGUAUUGGACGAAAGUGAUAAUUUAUGUGUUGGAUUGAAAAUAUUCAAUGCAUAUUUACAAGUUGUACGUCGAUUGCAGUUAACAUAUAGCAUGGAAACCGCUGGUAGUCAUGGUGUUUCAAGCAUGUAUGACGAUCAAUACUUACCAUUUAUUUGGGGAAGCGCUCAGCUUUGUGCAAAGGAACCGUUCGAACCAAAUCGUUCGCUUGAAACCAAUGUCAUCAGGCGAUUCAAAAAUGAAUACUACGUCAUUGGAUGUAUUGAUCACUUUCGACAGGUGAAUACUGAUAGUUUUGCCGAAUAUUCAAAUCCGUUGUGGAGCACAAGCAGCGUUUAUUCGUGGGUAAAAAUAAAUUCCAUUCUCAUCGAGAAUUAUGAAAAAGAGUUGCUUGCAGAAUUCCCUGUGAUUCAACAUGUGCUGUUCGGAUCAAUUUUAGAAUUGAAGGAAAUUUCAGUGAUCGAUCAAAUCAAAAAAAUGAAAAUCGAAAUGAAAAACGAAAUGAAAAACGAAAUCAAAGGGAUGCAUCAGCAACUCAACAAACCGACAACGAUUUGGGAAAUGAUUUCAUCUCAAUUGGUAUGGCUCUUCAGCCUGAGAUGGACAACAAUUUCAAACAAGGUUUCGAAACUUAUUUCUGGAAGCAAACAUUAGAAACCAAACCAUACAAAGGUUUUUAUCAAAGGUUAAAUAUUUAUAUAAAUUUUGAUACUAGCGUAAAUAAAUCAAUAACCGCUCAGCUUCUGGAAAAUGUCGAUGGCACCAUUGCCAAUGCAUUGGAUCUUUUGCAACCACAUGCAGAAAAAUGGACGAAUUUUUUUCAAUAUUUUUUUCUUUACUUUUUUCGUAUUUUAUCACAUAUACUAUGCAAAGCUUUGCAAUUACUUUAUUAUCUAUGCAUAGAUUUGUGGAUUGUAGAAUGUAUUCAAAGGUGUUGGGAAUCCUGUGAAUAAUAUAGAGUUUAUCAAUAAAAUAGUAUAUCCGCAGAAAAAAA